rnacentral:rRNA from 1 species
AGUGAACGCUGGCGGUAGGCCUAACACAUGCAAGUCGAACGGCAGCACAGUAAGAGCUUGCUCUUACGGGUGGCGAGUGGCGGACGGGUGAGGAAUACAUCGGAAUCUACUUUUUCGUGGGGGAUAACGUAGGGAAACUUACGCUAAUACCGCAUACGACAUACGGGUGAAAGCAGGGGAUCUUCGGACCUUGCGCGAUUGAAUGAGCCGAUGUCGGAUUAGCUAGUUGGCGGGGUAAAGGCCCACCAAGGCGACGAUCCGUAGCUGGUCUGAGAGGAUGAUCAGCCACACUGGAACUGAGACACGGUCCAGACUCCUACGGGAGGCAGCAGUGGGGAAUAUUGGACAAUGGGCGAAAGCCUGAUCCAGCCAUACCGCGUGGGUGAAGAAGGCCUUCGGGUGGUAAAGCCCUUUGUUGGGAAAGAAAAGCAGCAGGUUAAUACCCCGCUGUUCUGACGGUACCCAAAGAAUAAGCACCGGCUAACUUCGUG